AUUGAACGCUGGCGGCAUGCCUUACACAUGCAAGUCGAACGGCAGCGGACCUUCGGGUGCCGGCGAGUGGCGAACGGGUGAGUAAAGUAUCGGAACGUACCUUUCAGUGGGGGAUAACGUAGCGAAAGUUACGCUAAUACCGCAUAUUCUGUGAGCAGGAAAGCAGGGGAUCGCAAGACCUUGCGCUGAUUGAGCGGCCGAUAUCAGAUUAGCUAGUUGGUGAGGUAAAGGCUCACCAAGGCGACGAUCUGGAGCGGGUCUGAGAGGAUGAGCAGCCACACUGGAACAGAGACACGGUCCAGACUCCUACGGGAGGCAGCAGUGGGGAAUUUUGGACAAUGGGGGCAACCCUGAUCCAGUCAUGCCGCGUGAGUGAAGAAGGCCUUCGGGUUGUAAAGCUCUUUCGGCCGGGAAGAAAUCGCACGGGCUAAUACCCUGUGUGGAUGACGGUACCGGAAUAAGAAGCACCGGCUAACUACGUGCCAGCCGCCGCCGUAAUAC
rnacentral:rRNA from 1 species